UAAUUGCGGUUUUUGCUAUUGCUUUUAAAUGGCAAAAACUGCAGUUACUUUUGCACCAA
ensembl:miRNA